rnacentral:miRNA from 1 species
UGGUGGCUGCCCUCAGGGAGAGC